rnacentral:rRNA from 1 species
GAUGAACGCUGGCGGCGUGCCUAAUACAUGCAAGUCGAGCGAACGGACGAGAAGCUUGCUUCUCUGAUGUUAGCGGCGGACGGGUGAGUAACACGUGGAUAACCUACCUAUAAGACUGGGAUAACUUCGGGAAACCGGAGCUAAUACCGGAUAAUAUUUUGAACCGCAUGGUUCAAAAGUGAAAGACGGUCUUGCUGUCACUUAUAGAUGGAUCCGCGCUGCAUUAGCUAGUUGGUAAGGUAACGGCUUACCAAGGCAACGAUGCAUAGCCGACCUGAGAGGGUGAUCGGCCACACUGGAACUGAGACACGGUCCAGACUCCUACGGGAGGCAGCAGUAGGGAAUCUUCCGCAAAGGGCGAAAGCCUGACGGAGCAACGCCGCGUGAGUGAUGAAGGUCUUCGGAUUGUAAAACUCUGUUAUUAGGGAAGAACAUAUGUGUAAGUAACUGUGCACAUCUUGACGGUACCUAAUCAGAAAGCCACGGCUAACUACGUG